rfam:Dipodomys ordii contig_61242, whole genome shotgun sequence.
UAUGGGCUGGCUCAGUGGUAGAGUGCUUGCCUUGCAUGCAUGAGGCCCUGGGUUCGAUUUCUCAGCACCACAU